GUAUUACUCAGAAGGGUGGUGGGAAUGGGUGAUUGGCUGAUAGGUGACGUCAACAGGUUUACCACACCUAUCAGCCAAUCACCCAUUCCCACCACCCUUCU